GACGAACGCUGGCGGCGUGCCUAAUACAUGCAAGUUGAGCGAUGAAGCGUGGUGCUUGCACCACUUUGAAGAGCGGCGAACGGGUGAGUAACGCGUGGGGAACCUGCCUUUGAGCGUGGGACAACUUCGGGAAACGGAUGCUAAUACCGCAUAACAACUUUAACCAUAAGUUUUAAGAUUGAAAGAUGCUUUUGCAUCACCUAAAGAUGAUCCCGCGUUGCAUUAGCUAGUUGGUAAGGUAAAGGCUUACCAAGGCAAUGAUACGUAGCCGACCUGAGAGGGUGAUCGGCCACACUGGAACUGAGACACGGUCCAGACUCCUACGGGAGGCAGCAGUAGGGAAUCUUCCGCAAUGGGCGAAAGCCUGACGGAGCAACGCCGCGUGAGUGAUGAAGGUCUUCGGAUCGUAAAACUCUGUUAUUAGGGAAGAACAAAUGUGUAAGUAACUAUGCACGUCGUGACGGUACCUAAUCAGAAAGCCACGGCUAACUACGUG
rnacentral:rRNA from 1 species